UGCAUUUCCCAAGCGGAGGAAAAGAAACCAACUGGGAUUACCUUAGUAACGGCGAGUGAAGCGGUAAAAGCUCAAAUUUGAAAUCUGGUACUUUCAGUGCCCGAGUUGUAAUUUGUAGAAUUUGUCUUUGAUUAGGUCCUUGUCUAUGUUCCUUGGAACAGGACGUCAUAGAGGGUGAGAAUCCCGUUUGGCGAGGAUACCUUUUCUCUGUAAGACUUUUUCGAAGAGUCGAGUUGUUUGGGAAUGCAGCUCAAAGUGGGUGGUAAAUUCCAUCUAAAGCUAAAUAUUGGCGAGAGACCGAUAGCGAACAAGUACAGUGAUGGAAAGAUGAAAAGAACUUUGAAAAGAGAGUGAAAAAGUACGUGAAAUUGUUGAAAGGGAAGGGCAUUUGAUCAGACAUGGUGUUUUUUGCAUGCACUCGCCUCUCGUGGGCUUGGGCCUCUCAAAAAUUUCACUGGGCCAACAUCAAUUCUGGCAGUAGGAUAAAUCAUUAAGAAUGUAGCUACCUCGGUAGUGUUAUAGCUUAUUGGAAUACUGCUAGCUGGGAUUGAGGACUGCGCUUCGGCAAGGAUGUUGGCAUAAUGGUUAAAUGCCGCCCGUCUUGAAACACGGACCA
rnacentral:rRNA from 1 species